UGGAAUCACCCUGCCCUGAGCCUAAAGCUCACAACAAGCACCUCCUCCUGGAUGGGGAUCCUUCCCAGCUGAGCUCUCAGGCAGACCACAGCCUUAGUCAUGAUUGAUCAUUUCUGAUUUCUGGCCAGAGAAACUCCCCCCCCAAGCAAGAUCCUGCCCAACAGAGAGAGAAAAACCCUAACCGAUGCAUUGCCUACAAGAACAGUGAUGACAGGAAGCCCGCUACAACCUCGCUCAUUCACACCUGCAAGGAGGCCGAUUCUCCAAAAACCAACGGCACCCAUUCUACCCUGCUGAACCUGCCAUUGCCCUGACAUCUUCAAGCCACCCUGACAUCCAACCUCAGCCCUCUUCCACCCACAGCUUGCUGCUAGUCCAGGUCUCCUCGUCAGGUCAGCUGCCCAAAAGACUGAAGAAUCUCCGACUCAGUCCUGGCCUUACUGAAAGAGGUAGACUCCCUGGCAGGAGUGGAAGCCCAGAAGCAGUGUGCCCUGGAUUUUUUACUGCAAAAAAGGAAGGCAUCUAUGUCUUCUUGGGAGAAGAAUGCUGUUUUAAUCAAACAGGUCCGUGGUCCUCCUCCAGACAAUACAAGAGCUCUGAGAAUGAGCACCAGGCUCAAAAAACAGUCUGA
rnacentral:lncRNA from 1 species